rnacentral:rRNA from 1 species
UACGUAGGGAGCAAGCGUUGUCCGGAAUCAUUGGGCGUAAAGCGCGCGUAGGCGGCCCUGUAAGUCCGUUGUGAAAGUCAAAGGCUCAACCUUUGAAAGCCGAUGGAUACUGCAGGGCUAGAGUCCGGAAGAGGCGAGUGGAAUUCCUGGUGUAGCGGUGGAAUGCGCAGAUAUCAGGAGGAACACCAUAGCGAAGGCAGCUCGCUGGGACGGUACUGACGCUAAGGCGCGAAAGCGUGGGUAGCAAACAGG